UACGAAGGGGGCUAGCGUUGCUCGGAAUUACUGGGCGUAAAGGGCGCGUAGGCGGACAGUUUAGUCAGAGGUAAAAGCCCAGGGCUCAACCUUGGAACUGCCUUUGAUACUGGCUGUCUUGAGUUCGGGAGAGGUGAGUGGAAUGCCGAGUGUAGAGGUGAAAUUCGUAGAUAUUCGGAAGAACACCAGUGGCGAAGGCGACUUACUGGACACAUAUUGACGCUGAGGUGCGAAAGCGUGGGGAGCAAACAGG
rnacentral:rRNA from 1 species